rnacentral:rRNA from 1 species
UUGGAGGGCAAGUCUGGUGCCAGCAGCCGCGGUAAUUCCAGCUCCAAUAGCGUAUAUUAAAGUUGUUGCAGUUAAAAAGCUCGUAGUUAAAUUUCAGGACUAAUAUGUCGGUCGUACUUUGUACGUACUAGCAUUAUUGGUUUCUCCCUUCUGACGAACCACGAUGUCAUUAAUUUGGUGUCAUGGGAAAUCAGGACUGUUACUUUGAAAAAUUAGAGUGUUUAAAGCAAGCUCGUGCUUGAAUACAUUAGCAUGAAAUAAUGAAAUAGGACGUUUGAUUCUAUUUUGUUGGUUUCUAGGAUUGACGUAAUGAUUAAUAGGGAUAGUUGGGGGCAUUAGUAUUCAAUUGUCAGAGGUGAAAUUCUUGGAUUUAUUGAAGACUAACUACUGCGAAAGCAUUUGCCAAGGAUGUUUUCAUUAAUCAAGAACGAAAGUUAGGGGAUCGAAGACGAUCAGAUACCGUCGUAGUCUUAACCUUAAACUAUGCCGACUAGGAAUCAGACGAUGUUAAUUUUUUAAUGACUCGUUUGGCACCUUACGGGAAACCAAAGUGUUUGGGUUC